CCCGUGUAAACACCUAGGUGCCCGCUUGGGCUGCGGCCGGGCCACGCCUCGCGCUCGCGCUCGGGCGUAGCGUCACCCGUUGCUGGGCAGAGAAGCCGGUAUUUGCAUCUCCCAAUCGCUGGCCGCCGGAGCGGGGCGGGGCUCGGGCUGCGGGGCUGGGCGGUCUCGCGGCUGGGAUUGGGGGAGACCGGCGAGAUCGGUUUCUUUUCUUAGGUUGGGGGUUGGAGGAAGGAUAGGGGACGCGAGCCUGCCUCCCAUCUGGCGCUGGACGCUUGUCCCUGCCCCGCGUUGCCUUUUAAAUUUUAGCUUAUUCCGAGACACCUGCCGUCAGACAUUUAUGCAGUGCGUGAUUCUUUCUAAAACAACUCCCUGGAAGACAGGACAUUUAAUUCAGCAAUUUAUUGGCCACCUACUAUGCACCAGGCAGUGAACUUGGAACUUGGGCUACUGGGUUGCAGCAGUGACCGAGACAGUGGUCCCUGUUCUUAGGGAGCAAGUGAGGGCAACAGAAAAGAGCAGUCAGCUGUCAUGCGAGGGCACUCAAGCAGUCCUAUGGAAAGGUCUAUGUGGUAAGGAACUGAAGCCUCCUGCCAACACCAACAAGGAACUGAGACCUACUUCCAACAGCCAUCUGAGUGAUCCAUCCUGGAAUCAGAUCCUCCAGCCCCAGUCAAGGGGCUUCAGAUGACUGCAGCCCUGGCCAGCAUCCUAAAUGCAACCUCAUGAAUGACCCUGAGCCAGAACCGUGCAACUAAACUUUGCCUGGAUUCAUGACCCACAGAAACUGUGAGAUGGUAACUGUUUGCUUUGUUAAGCCUCUAAGUCUGGCAAUAAUAUAUUAAGCGGUAGUAGACAAUGAACACAAGAUUAUUAUUCAGCUGCUGAAUUGGAAGAGGAGGGGAAGAAAAAGUUUUCAGAUCACAAAAUAUUCAUUGUGUAAAACUUCAAAAAUUCUGAAAUUUAAGGAAAAAA